AGUGGUAUAGCUGGGUCAAAUGGUGGUUCCAUUCCAAGUUGUAUAAGGAAUCUCCAUAUUGCUUUCCAGAUUGGUUGCACCAAUUUACAGUCGCACCAGCAAU
rnacentral:pre_miRNA from 1 species